rnacentral:rRNA from 1 species
UAAUUGCGAUGGGGGGACGGAGCAGGCUAAGCAAGCAUGGCGUUGGUAGUCCAUGUGAAAGUGAGUAGGGCGUUUGUUUAGGUAAAUCCGGACGAACACUAAACCUGAGACACGAGACGAGUCACUAAGGUGAUGAAGUUGCUGAUGCCAUACUUCCAGGAAAAGCCUCUAAGCUUCAGAUUAUAUGGAAUCGUACCCCAAACCGACACAGGUGGUCAGGUAGAGAAUACUAAGGCGCUUGAGAGAACUCGGG